AUUGAACGCUGGCGGCAGGCCUAACACAUGCAAGUCGAACGGGUGGCGGACUGGUGAGUAAUGUCUGGGAAACUGCCUGAUGGUGGGGGAUAACUACUGGAAACUGUAGCUAAUACCGCAUACCAUCCUCUGUGCCGAUAUGGGAGUAGCUAGUAGGUGGGGUAAAGGCUCACCUAGGCGACGAUCCCUAUCUGGUCUGAGAGGAUGACCAGCCACACUGGAACUGAGACACGGUCCAGACUCCUACGGGAGGCAGCAGUGGGGAAUAUUGCACAAUGGGCGUAAGCCUGAUGCAGCCAUGCCGCGUGUAUGAAGAAGGCCUUCGGGUUGUAAAGUACUUUCAGCGGGGAGGCGUUACCCGCAGAAGAAGCACCGGCUAACUCCGUGCCAGCAGCCGCGGUAAUAC
rnacentral:rRNA from 1 species